rnacentral:rRNA from 1 species
AGCGAACGCUGGCGGCAGGCCUAACACAUGCAAGUCGAACGAACUCUUCGGAGUUAGUGGCGGACGGGUGAGUAACACGUGGGAACGUGCCUUUUGGUUCGGAAUAACUCAGGGAAACUUGUGCUAAUACCGAAUGUGCCCUUCGGGGGAAAGAUUUAUCGCCAUUAGAGCGGCCCGCGUCUGCUUAGCUGGUUGGUGAGGUAACGGCUCGCCAAGGAGACGAUCAGUGGCUGGUCUGAGGGGAUGACCAGCCACACUGGAACUGAGACACGGACCAGACUCCUACGGGAGGGAGCAGUGGGGAAUCUUGCGCAAUGGGCGAAAGCCUAACGCAGCCAUGCCGCGUGAAUGAUGAAGGUCUUAGGAUUGUAAAAUUCUUUCACCGGGGACGAUAAUGACGGUACCCGGAGAAGAAGCCCCGGCUAACUUCGUG